GAUACAGUUCUGGGCCUAGUGUUUGAGAGAUACAGUUCUGGGCCUAGUGUUUGAGAGACACAGUUCUGGGUCUAGUGUUUGAGAGACACAGUUCUGGGCCUAGUGCUCACAUCAAUCAAUAAGUCACCAUGUGUGUCUGAUAAAUUAACAGCUUUAAUGGCAGAGGCUUUGCAGUGAGUGAUGCAUUCUAGUCAAGUGAUGUGUGUGUAUGAUUGUGUGCAUGAAUGUGUGUGUAGGGGGUUGUAUCGCAGGCAGGCACACACACACACACACACACACACACACAAACUUAAUCAAACAACGUUUAGAGCAAUCCCUCAGACUGUAACUGUAAGGUUCCAGUCUGAAACCCCCAGAGAAAUCAAAUAUUAAUUUAGACGAGAGCCACUGCUCAAUAUCGACUCUCCAAUCGAUGUGUGCGUGUGUGCAUGCAAGGAGAGAAAAAGAGAUGCAGGACAAACAAGAGAUUGAGUGAAGAGAAAAAGAGUCAGAGAGGAAGAAAGAGAGAAAAAGAUGAGUCCCUAGGACUCCAGCCUCAAUCACAGAAGUUUGAUCAAAGUUCUCUGUUUCAGUAUACAUUUCUGAACAGCAGGCCCGAUUCAAACAGCUCAACUGCAUGCACAGUAGGGGGGAAGACAAUCAGUGUAGCGCUCCCUUUUCAUCGAGAAAUGAUGAGAAUACAAGCUAUAGCGGCCUUCAUUCUCCUCCAGUCACAAAGCAACUGGUCUGUGAUUGCCCUGGACCCCUCGUUAGGCACCAAGAGCCUGUCCAAUCAACUCCAUCAUUCCACUACAGUGCAUGUGUGUGGGUGUUUUGUGUGUGUGAUGUCUGAAGACAGACACAAAUUGGCAAUCAGGUAACGCUAUCAUGGAUUGGACUUUCCUCAGAGGGAUCCUGACUCCAAUACCUUCUUCCUUUCCUCUCCUCCAUCUCCUCGUCGCUCCGGAGCGGCUCCAGCUCGACCCUGACAGGUUCUCCUGACAACUUAUUACCAUACAAUUACACGAGCUCUCUCUCUCUCUCUCUCUCUCUCUCUCUCUCUCAAUCACUAAAGUUUCUCACUUGUCUUAACCCUCAAUCCCUGUCUCUCCCUCUCUCUUUCUCACCCCUCCUCUUUUAUCACUAUCUCUAUCCACUUCUAUCAAUCUUUAUUGGUUCCCAUCUCCUAGGCCCAAAUAGAGCAUUAGAGUACAUGGCUCACUUUAAUCUGCAUUAGGGAAGAGAUGAGAGGGCAAUGAGGAGAGGAGGAGAGAGGAGAAGGUGAGGAGGAGAGAGGAGAAGGUGAGGAGGAGAGAGGAGAAGGUGAGGAGGAGAGAGGAGAAGGUGAUGAGGAGAGGAGGAGAAGGUGAUGAGGAGAGGAGGAGAGAGGAGAAGGUGAUGAGGAGAGGAGGAGAGAGGAGAAGGUGAUGAGGAGAGGAGGAGAGAGGAGAAGUUGAUGAGGAGAGAGGAGAAGGUGAUGAGAGGAGGAGAAGGUGAUGAGAGGAGGAGAAGGUGACGAGAGGAGGAGAGAGGAGAAGGUGAGGAGGAGAGAGGAGAAGGUGAUGAGGAGAGGAGGAGAAGAUGAUGAGGAGAGGAGGAGAAGAUGAGGAGGAGAGAAGGUGAUGAGGAGAGGAGGAGAAGGUGAUGAGGAGAGGAGGAGAGAGGAGAAGGUGAUGAGGAGAGGAGGAGAGAGGAGAAGGUGAUGAGGAGAGAGGAGAAGGUGAUGAGAGGAGGAGAAGGUGAUGAGAGGAGAAGGUGAUGAGAGGAGGAGAGAGGAGAAGGUGAGGAGGAGAGAGGAGAAGGUGAUGAGGAGAGGAGAAGAUGAUGAGGAGAGGAGGAGAAGGUGAUGAGGAGAGGAGGAGAGAGGAGAAGGUGAUGAGGAGAGAGGAGAAGGUGAUGAAAGGAGGAGAGAAGAGAAGGUGAUGAGGAGAAGGUGAUGAGGAGAGGAGAAGGUGAUGAGGAGAGAGGUGAAGGAGAGGAGGAGAGAGGACAGGGUGAUGAGGAGAGAGGAGAAGGUGAUGAGGAGAGAGGAGAAGGUGAUGAGAGGAGGAGAGAGGAGAAGGUGAUGAGGAGAAGGUGAUGAGGAGAGGAGGAGAGAGGAGAAGGUGAUGAGGAGAGGAGGAGGGAGAAGGUGAUGAGGAGAGGACGAGAGAGGAGAAGGUGAUGAGGAGAGGAUGAGAGAGAGGAGAAGGUGAGGUGAUGAGGAGAGGAGAUUGUGAUGAGGAGAGGAGAAGGUGAUAAGGAGAAGAGAAGGUGAUGAGGAGGGGAGGAGAGAGGAGAAGGUGAUGAGGAGAGGAGGAGAGAGGAGAAGGUGAGGAGGAGAGAGGAGAAGGUGAUGAGAGAGAGAGAGAGGAGAAGGUGAUGAGGAGAGGAGCAGAGAGGAGAAGGUGAUGAGUUGGAGAAGGCGAUGAGGAGAGGAGGAGAGGAGAAGGCGAUGAUGAGAGAAGGAGAGAGGAGAAGGUGAUGAGGAGAGGACGAGAGAGGAGAAGGUGAGGUGAUGAGGAGAGGAGAAGGUGACGAGGAGAGGAGAAGGUGAUGAGGAGAGGAGGAGAAGGUGAUGAGGAGAGGACGAGAGAGGAGAAGAUGAUGAGGAGAGGACGAGAGGAGAAGGUGAUGAGGAGAGGACGAGAGAGGAGAAGGUGAUGAGGAGAGGACGAUAGAGGAGAGGAGGAGAGAGGAGAAGGUGAUGAGGAGAGAGGAGAAGGUGAUGAGGAGAGGAGCAGAGAGGAUAAUGUGAUGAGGAGGAGAAGGUGAUGAGGAGAGGAGAAGGUGAUGAGGAGAGGAGGAGAGAGGAGAAGGUGAUGAGGAGAGGAGGAGAGAGGAGAAGGCGAUGAGGAGAGGAGGAGAGAGGAGAAGGUGAUGAGGAGAGGAGGAGAGAGGAGAAG
ensembl:lncRNA